GAGACACCCUUAUGGGGCAGGGCUUGUUUCAAUGGGGCUUUGGUGCUCACUGAGUCUGCCCCCUUGAGUGUGUCGCU
rnacentral:pre_miRNA from 1 species